UUCAUGAGCAAAGAAUUGUUAUAAAUCGAAGCUUACAAAAGGAUGAUUCCAAUCAUCACUGCAACAUGCUUUGGGGAAAGUCUCCGACCAUUCACACGGAAAUCGUGAUGAGAAUUUUAUCAACUCAUCAAGACUUGAAUCUUUACAAAACUUUGAACCCAUCCUAUUCGCCUAAUGAAGCAGAACUUGGAGAUUGUUGAUGGUGAUUCAUGUUUCCGGUUGUUUUUCAUCUUGCAUUUGUGCUAAAUUGGAACCCCAACAUCUUGAUUCGAUUGUCCUGGAACAAUACUCCUCUUGAGUCUUUGUGAUUAUCAUGUUUCCACAUGGUUUUUCAAUUGUUGUGAUGCAGGUGUAAUUGGUCUUGAUAUACGUUGGAUCUAAUGAUGGCUUCAAAACCGUGGGAGAUUAAUGACUGGCUUGCAAUCCCAUAUUGAAUCCUUCCACUUCUCUUUAUGGGAUUGAAUGUUUGGGGGUGAGAUUCGGAACUAUUUCAUGUCUUUCUGAACUUUCAUCAGAUCAUGUAUUGAUUCUGGUUGAAUUCUUCGGUAUUUGGGGUGGAUUGCAUCACCUAAACGAUAGUUAUAACAAUUGGUUAUUCCUCAUGGGAAUGAUUAACCCAAUGGAGCUUACUCUUGCUUCAUGA
rnacentral:RNase_MRP_RNA from 2 species